CUUGUCAACUGCAGGGGUUAUUUUCCUGCUGGUUGGCCAAACUGGUUAGGAAGAUAAAGAUCUCAGAAAAUAAGGAGUAUGAGGAGAAACAAUAAAAACUGGCACUGAAUGUAUGGGAAUGCAUGCAUGUCUCCUUCCACAACAAACCAGGCUUGGCUACAUAAAAACUCCAGGCCUGGUAUGUAGCCCUUCUCUUGAAUCACCUUCAUUUGUCUGGGAAACAGAAAAGUUACUGUUUCCUCAUCUGUGAGAGGUAAGUAUUCUGUAUCUGCAUUUGUCCUUUUCAAAAAGGUACUUACAUGAGCUUGGUCUUUGGGCCAUAUAUUGUGAAGGUGGAUAUAAACAGGUCAGCAGGAGGGGAGCAAUAAGUAUUAUAAUUUUUUUGUUUAACAGACCAAAGUAAGUAUGUGUGUGUAAAAAUAGCUUAGAUUUUGAAACUUGGUUUAUAAGAUUAAAUAAUUAGUAAAUUUGGCCAGGCACAGUGGCUCACGCCUUGUAAUCCCAGCACUUUGGGAGGCUGAGGCGGAUGGAUCACCUGAGGUCAGGAGUUCCAGACCAGGCUGGCCAACGUGGUGAGACCCCGUCUCUACUAAAAAUACAGAAAAAAUUAGCUGGGCGUGGUGGUGCAUGCUUGUAAUCACAGGUACUCAGGAGGGCUCUGAGCAGGCAGGAGAAUUGCUUGAACCUGGGAGACAGAAGUUGCAGUGAAUUGAGAUCAUGCCACUGCACUCAAGCCUGGGUGAUAGAGUGAGACUCUGUCUCAAAAACAAAACAAAACAAAAUUAAAUACUUAGUAAACUGUGGUGUGAUCUUGGCUCACUGCAGCCUUGACCUCCCAAGGCACAUGCUUGUAGAGAAAAUAGAGUCAUAGGGUCUCCCUGUGUUGCUCAAGCUGGUCUCAAACUCCUGGCCUCAAGCAAUCCUCUCACCUCAGCCUCCCAAAGUGCUGGGAUUAUAGGCGUGAGCCACGUCCCAGCUGGCCCUGAGCAAGCU
rnacentral:lncRNA from 1 species